UACGAAGGGGGCUAGCGUUGUUCGGAUUUACUGGGCGUAAAGCGCACGUAGGUGGAUUGUUAAGUGAGGGGUGAAAUCCCAGGGCUCAACCCUGGAACUGCCUUUCAUACUGGCAAUCUUGAGUUCGGAAGAGGUAAGUGGAAUUCCAAGUGUAGAGGUGAAAUUCGUAGAUAUUUGGAAGAACACCAGUGGCGAAGGCGGCUUACUGGUCCGAUACUGACACUGAGGUGCGAAAGCGUGGGGAGCAAACAGG
rnacentral:rRNA from 1 species